rnacentral:rRNA from 1 species
CCAAUAGCGUAUAUUAAAGUUGUUGCAGUUAAAAAGCUCGUCGUUGAAUUUCGGGGUCAGCAGGUUGGUCGUGCCAAUGGUAUGCACUGGCCUUGCUGAUUCCUCCCUCUUGAUGAGCCGUAAUGCCAUUAAUUUGGUGUUGCGGGGAAUCAGGACUGUUACUUUGAAAAAAUUAGAGUGUUUAAAGCAGGCAAGCGCUUGAAUACAUUAGCAUGGAAUAAUGAAAUAGGACGUUUGAUCCUAUUUUGUUGGUUUCUAGGAUUGACGUAAUGAUUAAUAGGGAUAGUUGGGGGCAUUAGUAUUCAAUUGUCAGAGGUGAAAUUCUUGGAUUUAUUGAAGACUAACUACUGCGAAAGCAUUUGCCAAGGAUGUUUUCAUUAAUCAAGAACGAAAGUUAGGGGAUCGAAGACGAUCAGAUACCGUCGUAGUCUUAACCAUAAACUAUGCCGACUAGGGAUCGGAUGAUGUUAAUUUUUUAAUGACUCAUUCGGCGCCUUACG